ACAUAAUGAACAGCAAGGAAAAACGAGAGACGAAAGGAAGGGGGACCCAUGACGAGUGCUGGAUUGAUGUACAAGAAAUAAAGUUCCAUAAGGUGGAAAACUGGGCUAGUUGGUACGGUUGCAUACUUAACAAGCAGCGUGAAAAGAAUGAGAGAUGAAAGAAGGGAGGACCCAAGACAAGUGCUGGAUUGAUGUACAAGAAAUAAAGUUCCAUAAGGUGGAAAACUGGGCUAGUUGGUACGGUUGCAUACUUAACGAAUAGCACUGAAAAACGAGAGAUGAAAGGAAGGAGGACCCAAGACGAGUGCUGGAUUGAUGUACAAGAAAUAACAUUUCAUAACGUGGAAAACUGGGCUAGUUGGUACGAUUGCAUACUUAACGAACAGAGCAGAAAAAAGAGAGAUGAAAGGAAAGAGGACCCAAGACGAGUGCUGGAUUGAUGUAUAAGAAAUAACGUUCCAUAACAUGGAAAACUGAGCUAGUUGGUACGGUUGCAUACUUAACGAACAGCGCAGAAAAAAGAGAGAUGAAAGGAAAGAGGACCCAAGAUGAGUGCUGGAUUGAUGUAUAAGAAAUAACGUUCCAUAACAUGGAAAACUGGGCUAGUUGGUACGGUUGCAUACUUAACGAACAGCGCAGAAAAAAGAGAGAUGAAAGGAAGGAGGACCCAAGACGAGUGCUGGAUUGAUGUAUAAGAAAUAACGUUCCAUAACGUGGAAAACUGGGCUAGUUGGUACGGUUGCAUACUUAACGAACAGUGCAGAAAAAUGAGAGAUGAAAGGAAGGAGGACUCAAGACGAGUGCUGGAUUCAUGUACAAGAAAUAAAGUUCCAUAAGGUGGAAAACUGGGCUAGUUGUUACGGUUGCAUACUUAACGAACAAAGGCGAGUGCUGGAUCGAUGUACAAGAAAUAAAGUUCUAUAAGGGGAAAAACUGGGCUAGUUGGUACGGUUGCAUACUUAAUCAGCGUGAAGAAAACAAGAGAAGAAAGGAAGGAGGACCCAGGAUGCUGGCUUGACAUACAAGAAAUAUUACAGUAGGUUAGAAAAUUGGUCUAGUUGGUACGGUUGUAUACUUAACAAACAGUGCGAAAAAAAAAUGAGAGACGAAGGAAGAAGGGGAUGGGAUGAGGGCUGGACUGAUGUGCAACUGAAGUUUAUUUCUUGUACAUCGGGCCAGCUUUGAUUGUAGCACUCUUAAGGGCUCCCUUCCCUACCCACCCAUUUUCUUAACGCCGGUGUGCUAGGGAACUAUGAUCUAUAGCUGCUGGUUGCCAUGAAAAGCACGUGCAUCCCUUUCAUUGGUGGCAGUGAAGGGAAGCGGUGGGUCGUCUGGCAUGAUAAGGCUAUGGUUGAAGUAAACGCUGCUGCUGCUUACAUUCGCAGGGGAAAAAAUGAGGCAGUAAUUUUUUAAGCUAUUUAAAGAGUCUUUAACGAUAGAAGGGGAAUCUUAAGGGCUUGUUUUUCUUUUUUAGACACCACGUUAAUGAGAACUAACAGACAAUCAAGCCAGGGAAAGUAUAGGGGACGUUAUUAGUAGUA